rnacentral:rRNA from 1 species
GGCUCAGAUUGAACGCUGGCGGCAUGCUUUACACGAUGCAAGUCGAACGGUAACAGGCCUUCGGGCGCUGACGAGUGGCGAACGGGUGAGUAAUGCAUCGGAACGUGCCCAGAGGUGGGGGAUAACGCAGCGAAAGCUGUGCUAAUACCGCAUAUUAUCUGAGGAUGAAAGCGGGGGACUAAGCAGCAAUGUUUGGCCUCGCGCCUUUGGAGCGGCCGAUGUCAGAUUAGGUAGUUGGUGGGGUAAAGGCCUACCAAGCCGACGAUCUGUAGCUGGUCUGAGAGGACGACCAGCCACACUGGGACUGAGACACGGCCCAGACUCCUACGGGAGGCAGCAGUGGGGAAUAUUGGACAAUGGGCGAAAGCCUGAUCCAGCAAUGCCGCGUGAGUGAUGAAGGCCUUAGGGUUGUAAAGCUCUUUUACCAGGGAUGAUAAUGACAGUACCUGGAGAAUAAGCUCCGGCUAACUCCGUG